AGGUUCGAUUAUGGCUCAGGAUGAACGCUAGCGGCAGGCUUAACACAUGCGAGUCGAGGGGCAACAGGAGUGCUUGCACUCGCUGACGACCGGCGCACGGGUGCGUAACGCGUAUAGAACCUACCUUUUACUGAGGGAUAGCCUUUAGAAAUGAAGAUUAAUACCUCAUGGUAUUGUAAACUGGCAUCGGUUUAUAAUUAAAGAUUUAUUGGUAAAAGAUGGCUAUGCGUCUUAUUAGCUAGAUGGUAAGGUAACGGCUUACCAUGGCAACGAUAAGUAGGGGCCCUGAGAGGGGGAUCCCCCACACUGGUACUGAGACACGGACCAGACUCCUACGGGAGGCAGCAGUGAGGAAUAUUGGGCAAUGGAGGCAACUCUGACCCAGCCAUGCCGCGUGCAGGAAGACUGCCCUAUGGGUUGUAAACUGCUUUUAUACAGGAAGAAACACACCUACAUGUAGGUGCUUGACGGUACUGUAGGAAUAAGCACCGGCUAACUCCGUGCCAGCCGCCGCG
rnacentral:rRNA from 1 species